GGAAACUGAGAAGAAACAAGCAGCAGAGCUGGGGUGUUAACCUUAGAGGAUCAGGGACUCGAUUUUUCCUAAAAUGUCAUCAUACACUGAAUGAGAAUUAAUCUUCAUGUGAAUCCCUAGACCAAUCAGCUAAAGCCAGGGAGGCAGGACCAGGUCAAGAAUUUGGGUGCAGUUUAGUUGUGUUUCAUUAUCUCUCCUGAGGUUGCAAUCAAAUUUUGACCAGGUUCAUCUGAAGGCUUGGCUGAGGUGAAAUGAAGCAAAGAAAGAUGAAGUACAGUCCCAGAGGCACACUGUGAGCAGCAGAAGCAUAUUUCAAAAGUUUUGAUUUUUAAGUCUCUGUCAACAUUCACCUUCUUCAUCCAGAGUACUCUUUCUUGUCUUGGCUUCGAUGUUGAGCUCAUUUGCCUCUUCUGAGAAUGAAUGUCUAUAAAGAUGGAAAAAUUACAUAGCAAAUGGAGAAAAGUUUCUGUUUUCCUGAAUGCCCAGCUUUGACAUGUGGACUUCCUUCAGUGUAUAAGAAUCUUCUAUCACGGCAAGAAAGUGAAAACCUUCAUAACAUCAUCAUUCCAAGCAGGCGGGACUGGACAGCAGGGAACUGGUGGCGGCUCGCAGCAUGCCUGGAAAUCCAGGCAGAGGAUAGAACAAUGCACACAUCACGGGGGUCCUGGGCUGCCACAGGUUGUAACUGUCUCUGUGAAAUCACUUUCCCCAGCGCUCCCCACUGCCCGCGGAGGCACUGACCAUCAGCACACCUUGCCGAGGUCACUCCACCGAUGUCCAGAUGCCCAGUUUCCGAUUCGCAUAAGGAAUAUGAAGGUGGUCCUGAUGGAGCAUUUGGUUUGGUUUAACUGAUUUAGUCCAGUUGUUUGAAAACAUAUUGUCUUAAAGAGCAGGCUAUUUAUCAUAUUUCACUAUCUUUCCGUUGAAGUUUGAGAAGGGGGAAAAGCAGUGUACAUUUUCCUGAUUUGAUUUUACUUUCUCAUAUCUAAGAAAUAAACUCUUCUAUUACUUUGUGAUAGC